UACGUAGGGUGCGAGCGUUAAUCGGAAUUACUGGGCGUAAAGCGUGCGCAGGCGGUUCUCCAAGUCCGUUGUGAAAGCCCCGGGCUUAACCUGGGAACUGCAUUUGUGACUGCAUGGCUAGAGUGCGGCAGAGGGGGAUGGAAUUCCGCGUGUAGCAGUGAAAUGCGUAGAUAUGCGGAGGAACACCGAUGGCGAAGGCAAUCCCCUGGGCCUGCACUGACGCUCAUGCACGAAAGCGUGGGGAGCAAACAGG
rnacentral:rRNA from 1 species